CCACCGCUUCCCUUGAGAAGGGAGACUAAAGACAGGCAUCUGGAAGCUGUCACUGUGGCGCGCGGGCAGACAGGGGAUCCCAUUGGAGAGGAAGAGCCGUAGUAGUCGCUGCUGCCUUCGGCCGACCCAACGGCCGCCUGCUUGGGAGGAAGAAAAAGAACGCCCCCGCUGAAGAAUUAAGGCAGCCAUUGGUUGCUCUAGGGGUAAGGACCGAGGCCUCCCCUGGGUGUCACUGGAGCAGCCACACAUGGGGGAUCAGCCGACUUCAUUCGAUCGCUGGCGACAGACCCGGCGACCCGUAGGAAUGCGCGCUGGGGCUGCGGCUGGAGGGCGUGGCGACGGCAACAGGCGGGUGGCUCGAGUGGGUGCGACUCUGGGCGCGUGGGACUGAGAACUCCUCCGCCGUGGGGAAGAUUUUUUUCCCAGCAGAUGUUGGGGUGUUACUGCGUGUCUGAGGGGCCGGCGGAAUGGAGGGGUCCCGGUUCGUGCGGGGCAGCGAGGUGUGUCAGAUGAGCUGUGGAUCCCUGCGGCCCCACGUGGGCCGGAGAGGGGGGCCCACGACAACAAGCGAUUGAGGACAGCGAUGGACAGGGCGGGGAACCAGCUGGGUGGAAGCACAGGGAAAGUGUGGUGAGGAGGGAAGGGCUGUGAUCUGCCCUCGGUACGACGCCCCAAGGGACAGCCUGGCCUCCUGAAUUAGGGAAAAGACAACCCGUCUCUUUAGACUGGGGCGCCUCAGAGUCUGACCUGAGUCUUCAAACGCCCAGAUCCCCUGGGGCCUUGAGUCUCCCUUUCCCGCUGGCCCUGCCUCGCCUGCGCUUCAAGACUCCGACGCCCCCGCAGCCUUGGGCUAAGGGUCAGUCGUCCCCGGGCGCGGGUCCGGCUGCCCUGGAACUGAUGCUGGAUUUCGCUGGAGAAGAGAAGAAGGCCACAUGAAGAUGGAGCAAGAGAUUGGAGUGAUGUGGCCACAAGCCAAGGAAGCUGACGAAUGAAGACAGCUGUCAGAAGCUGGAAGAGGAAAAGGAUUCUCUCUUGGGGUCUCCAGAGGGAGAACAGCCCUGCCAACACUUCCAUUUCCAAUGUCUGGACUCUAGAACUGUGAGAAAAUAAAUUCCCAUUAUUUUAAGGAACACAGUUUGUGAUACUGCAUUACAGCAGC
rnacentral:lncRNA from 1 species